CCGCAAGGCUAAAACCCAAAGGAAUUGACGGGGGCUUACACAAGCGGUGGAGCAUGUGGUUUAAUUCGAAACAACGCGCAAAACCUUACCAAUCCUUGACAUGCGAAAAACCAGGGUGUUUACCCGCUCUGUCUCUUUUAUACAGGUGCUGCAUGGCUGUCGUCAGUUCGUGGUGUGAGCUGUUGGGUUAAGUCCCAGAACGAACGCAACCCUCCUUUGAAAUGAAGGUUUACCUUUUUCAAAGACUGCCAAGGAUAUCUUGGAGGAAGGUGAGGAUGACGUCAAGUCCGCAUGGCCCUUAUGGGUUGGGCUACACACGUGCUACAAUGGGAAUGACAAAAGGAGGCAACAUGGCAACAUUGAGCAAAUCCCAAAAAGUUUCCUUAGUUCGGAUUGUUCUCUGCAACUCGAGAACAUGAAGUUGGAAUCGCUAGUAAUCGUAGAUCAGCACGCUACGGUGAAUUUGUAUCUAAGCCUUGUACACACCGCCCGUCACACUCUGAAAAUUUUCAUGCCUUGAAGCAAAAGAAGUUCACCAAGAACACACAGCGCAAUUAAAAAAAAACAUCUUCCCUUUUUUUUCUGUGUCUUUGUUGGAACCUUUUCUAGAGUUAGGGAGGUGAUUGGAGUG
rnacentral:rRNA from 1 species